UGGGGAAUAUUGGACAAUGGGGGCAACCCUGAUCCAGCCAUGCCGCGUGUGUGAAGAAGGCCUUUUGGUUGUAAAGCACUUUAAGCGAGGAGGAGGCUACCUGUAUUAAUACUAUAGGCUAGUGGACGUUACUCGCAGAAUAAGCACCGGCUAACUCUGUGCCAGCAGCCGCGGUAAUACAGAGGGUGCGAGCGUUAAUCGGAAUUACUGGGCGUAAAGCGCGCGUAGGCGGUUUGUUAAGUCGGAUGUGAAAUCCCCGGGCUCAACCUGGGAAUUGCAUUCGAUACUGGCAAGCUAGAGUAUGGGAGAGGAAGGUAGAAUUCCAGGUGUAGCGGUGAAAUGCGUAGAGAUCUGGAGGAAUACCGAUGGCGAAGGCAGCCUUCUGGCCUAAUACUGACGCUGAGGUGCGAAAGCAUGGGGAGCAAACAGGAUUAGAUACCCCUGUAGUCCCUGAGCGGGCUGGCAAGGCGCAU
rnacentral:rRNA from 1 species